GGAGGGAGGGAGAGAGAGGAGGACGGCAUCUGCGCGGCGGGCGGCGGCGGCGGCGGCGGCGUGGGGAACGAGGGGAGUAGGUGGCGGUCGGGCAGGGGGCGGUGGGAGCAAAGCUUCUUUAAAGUGGAAUUCGAGGGAUUCAAGGGUCGAGAAAUGAAGGUCUGAAAUUAAUUCGGAAGAUGGCAUUGUUAGCACAUCAGGCGCAGGGUUCUUAUUCAACCCAUUCCUUGAGAGCUAAAGCAUUGACCCAUGAAGUGAGGUGGAGAUCUUUUGUAGCAUUUCAGUUCAUUGGAAGGAAAGAUAAGUUUAUACCAUUGAAGCUUCGGUUCCAUUUCAGAGACGAACCUAUUAUUUUACCAAAGAGGAAAGCUUUCAAAGUCUCAUCUUUUAAAGGCAAUGCCCAGAAUGAUGAACGAGAAGGCAGAGACAGUGGCUCAAAAUUUCGCAAGGCACCAGUUCAGCUCUCCGCACAACAAGAGAGAGAAGAAAUUCUGUCAGAUUCUCAUGAUGUGCAGAAGCAUCCGCUAUCGUAUGCACCCGAAGGAAGAGAGGAAACUACAGCUGGAUCUCUUGCAAUACAAGAAGUAUUCAGAAAGUGGUUGAUCAUGUUGCGCAUGCAGACAUCUAGUCUGAGAAUGGAUGGAAACUUCCAUGGAGAACCAGCCGAGAAUGUAACAUCUGAAGGUCAACAUGUAACUAUGAGAAUGCGGGCAGUGAAUAUGCUGAAGGUUGCACUCGUACACUUCCUGAGACUUGAUGCAGCAAUAUCUAUCCCAUUAUUGAUAUUCAUUCCAUGGUACCUAACAGUCAAAUUGGUGUAUGGAGUUGAAGUCACUAAGGAGUUGACACCUUUAUGGGUUCUUGGGCCACUAAUUGUUGCUUUCUAUAUAAAAAUCAUUCAAGGGCUCUGUUCGCUGUAUUUUUUCCUCUUCAUGCAAGCUGUUAGCCUGGUAAAGAACCUACCAAUUUACUCUUCGUUGGUCUAUACUUACAUUGCUGAGGGAAAGCUUAAAGCAUUUCUCUGGGCCCUCUUCUGGAAGCCUAUAAUAGUCAUCAAAAACUUAGAUUACAGAGCUCUAUUCAGACAAAAGUUCAAACAACUUGAAGAGUGGGCAGUUGAGAAAUAUCUGGAUUACAUCGAAUCGAUAUGGCCAUACUAUUGCAGAACUAUCCGAUUUUUGAAGAAAGCACAUCUUAUUUAGCUGCGGUUAUCAAAGAAUACAGCUAUUGUAACCAUAUCUUUAUGUAUUUCGUGAACGCCCAUUAAGUUUUGGAAUAACUGAUGAUUUUUUAUGACGAUUUUGCUUGAAAAAUAGUGAUGCAGGAUUGGAUAUUCUGGUAUUCCUCAUUACACAAACCUUUCCUCCUUGAGAAUGAGAUGUUAUGAUUGGGGAUGUGAUUUUCAGAUCUGAUACUUAUGGGGUACAUGGUGUUAAUGUUUUUCUGGGAUUCAACACGCAAGUACUUUGUCAAAAUUUGUGAAGAUUGCCAUGUAAAAUUUAUGUUGUGCUAUUGAGAGGUGAGGUUUUUAUCUAAUGUCUGGUGGUCCUGGAAGAAUCAUCUUCCAAGCUUUUGAGCUCUGCAGUAUGGAUUAUUCGGAUUAGAAUAAAUCAGUUUCCUAAUAUCUGAAUGAUGGCAGCAUUUUGUAAAAAAUUGGAAGAAAUAAUGUCUCUGGAGAAGUAGUCAUAAGUGCAGAGUAUUUUUAUUUG